GCCACGUCUAAAUCCGUGUCAAAUACAGUCACAACUCGACAAACACCAUGCGGCUGGGUUGCGUGGCUUUUGUGAUACUUUUCCUCCGCAGAUGUCUCAGUGCUGAAUUGAUACAGUCUCCGAUGUCCAUCACCAAAUCGCUGGGCAAAACUGCCGUCAUGAAAUGCGAUCUGGGCACAGUGAACACGGAGAAUAUCUUUUGGUACCGGCAGCCAGAUGGGCAACGGCCGGUCAGGAUCCUCUAUUACAAUAAUGGGGGUAACGUACGCGACGAUGGAAUUGAUGACAGAUUUACAGCGAGAAAUGAUCGACAAAAACAGUAUUCUCUAACUGUGACCCGUCUCGAGAAAGAGGAUUCCGGCACCUAUUACUGUGCCUAUAUAGACCCACAGAGUUGA